rnacentral:lncRNA from 1 species
UUUUUCUUUUCUUUUUUUCAGAGCUGGGGACCGAACCCAGGGCCUUGCGCUUGCUAGACAAGCGCUCUAUACCACUGAGCUAAAUCCCCAACCCCUAUUCAUUUUUUCAAAUGCAGUAAUGACUUAUUUUUAACAUUCUUAAAAAUGAAGCUAGAGACAGUUCAGCAAGAAAACAAACUUGUAGAUGCCUUGUGACCUGAAUGGCAUCCCUAGAAGCCCAGAAAGUGGGAGAUUUUACGAGUGUCCCCGACAUGCACAUCUGCACCACGUCCACACUGCAGCACAUGUACCUCUGCCUCACUGUGCACACACAUCAAUAUAAACACAAUUUUAAGAAAAGAAGGGAAAAACUGGAAACAUUUCAAACAUAACAUUAUUCCAGAAAAUGAAAGUACACUAAAGAAAAACUCAUGUCCUUUAGAGCAAUGCUGUCUCCUCACCAGUGUCUGAAUAGAAGUUGGACAGAUAAGACAGGUCAGAGAAUGUCACUGUUGUGAACACAGGCAUAGAAGGGCUUUGGAAGUUUCAACCUUCACAUGCAGCAAGAGACACCCACCACCAGCAAGAGACAGAUUGUUGGCUGUCCUAUUAAGAAUGAGACUAAACGGGGUUGGGGAUUUAGCUCAGUGGUAGAGCCCUUGCCUAGGAAGCGCAAGGCCCUGGGUUCGGUCCCCAGCUCCAAAAAAAAGAACAAAAAAAAAAAAAA